rnacentral:rRNA from 1 species
UACAGAGGGUGCAAGCGUUGUUCGGAAUUAUUGGGCGUAAAGCGCGUGUAGGCGGCUUUGCAAGUCGGGUGUGAAAGCCCUCAGCUCAACUGAGGGAAGUGCGCCCGAAACUGCAGAGCUUGAGUGCCGGAGAGGGUGGCGGAAUUCCCCCAAGUAGAGGUGAAAUUCGUAGAUAUGGGGAGGAACACCGGUGGGCGAAGGCGGCCACCUGGACGGUAACUGACGCUGAGACGCGAAAGCGUGGGGAGCAAACAGG